rnacentral:rRNA from 1 species
UAAUACAGAGGUCUCGAGCGUUAGGCGGAAUCACUGGGCUUAAAGCGUGUGUAGGUGGAUGGGUAAGUACCUUGUGAAAUCCCACGGCUCAACCGUGGAACUGCUUGGUAUACUGCCCGUCUUGAGUCACUCAGGGGCGAGCGGAACAGAUGGUGGAGCGGUGAAAUGCGUAGAUAUCAUCUGGAACGCCAAUGGUGAAGACAGCUCGCUGGGGGUGUACUGACACUGAGACACGAAAGCCAGGGGAGCAAACGGG